UACGGAGGGGGCUAGCGUUGCUCGGAAUUACUGGGCGUAAAGCGCACGUAGGCGGCUCUUUAAGUCGGAGGUGAAAUCCUGGAGCUCAACUCCAGAACUGCCUUUGAUACUGAAGAGCUCGAGUCCGGGAGAGGUGAGUGGAACUGCGAGUGUAGAGGUGAAAUUCGUAGAUAUUCGCAAGAACACCAGUGGCGAAGGCGGCUCACUGGCCCGGUACUGACGCUGAGGUGCGAAAGCGUGGGGAGCAAACAGG
rnacentral:rRNA from 1 species